rnacentral:rRNA from 1 species
CCUACGGGAGGCAGCAGUUAGGAAUAUUGGACAAUGGGCGCAAGCCUGAUCCAGCCAUGCCGCGUGAGUGAUGAAGGCCUUCGGGUUGUAAAGCUCUUUAGCCGAUGAAUAUAAUGACUGUAGUCGGAAAAUAAGCCCCGGCUAACUUCGUGCCAGCAGCCGCGGUAAUACGAAGGGGGCGAGCGUUAUUCGGAAUCACUGGGCGUAAAGCGUGCGUAGGCGGUCCUAAAAGUUAGGAGUGAAAGCCCAGGGCUUAACCCCGUGGAAUUGCUCUUAAAACCUAUAGGACUAGAAUUCGGGAGAGGAUAGCGGAAUUGUCAGUGUAGCAGUGAAAUGCGUAGAUAUUGACAGGAACACCAGUGGCGUAAGCGGCUAUCUGGACCGACAUUGACGCUG